ACCUAUGAUGAUGACUGGUGGCGUAUGAGUCAUUGACGGUGAAUACAGGUCUGGAAGUCUGAGGUCCAAUAUAAUAAAAAAUCUAGUCUUCACCUUCUAUCCUAGGGAUAGACAUUAGGAAUAUUUGAGGAUGUUGUUCUUGGUCUUCACGUUCAUGCAUUUUCCCUCUAUUUUUAUAAUUGGAUCAAUGAAUCAAUAAGCAAAUAUAUUUUAACUGCAUAAAGAUAAAAAUAGGCGUUGUCCAAUUAUGGAAAUAUAUGGUGAAAUAAGAAAUACUAUUCACAUUUAUUAAAAACACUGAGGUCUUCUUUCUAUUAACAAAUAAAUGACUCAGAGGUAUUACUCGCUUGCUGCAGGAUGGCAUAUACAGUAAAAAUAAUAAUAACGUAUGUGAGGUCAUUUGGGUCAGGACCAUGUUCAUGGUUGUUUGUUUUCUCAAGAAAAAAUAGUUUCACACAUACUUACAUGACUAAUAGAAUGAAAGGAGAAAUGUGUGGAUAAAUGGACAGAAUAUUUCCAUCUUUUUAUCUUUUUUGCUUUGUACUCUCACAAUGAACACCCUCAAGUUGACUUAAGCACCCUUCCAUGGUCAUGAGGUUUCUGGUUGCCUCUGUGUGUUAGAAGCUUGGAGACCAAUGUGAGUAUAGUCAAAGUUCUUGUCUUGGUUCUGGGUUUUUAAGGGGUAGUCAUUGUUUUAUUAAGAACAUUACAGAUAAUCCAAAAGGUUAACCAUGGUCCAGGGGUAAUUAUGGCAUUGCCAUGAAACAUUAUGUUGAUUAUCUAAUAUUUAUAAAAUUAAAAAUGAUUAAUGAUAAAAUCACUGUGAGAGAUGAUCCUAUAGAGAGCUAUACAGUAUUUCUUGUUCUUAAGUUUUUGUAACAUUAUUUAAUUACUAUUAGUGAAAGGAUGAAUUAAUAAAUAAACAAAUGUAGAAGUAAUGGAGAAGAGGAGGGCCAGUCUUCAGUCAAUGAUGACUCUGCCUCUGUUGAAAAUACCAUACCCUAUAGACAGAUUUAAGAAUACACAAGGCUCAUGUUCUUGGUUUUUGCAUUAAUGGAUUUUGAUUCUAUUAUUAUAAAUAGAUCAAUGAAAGAAUCAAUAAAGCAAUAGAAACACACAUGAGUAAUGAAAUCAUCGUACAAUUAUGAAACUAUGUAGGGAAACGAGAAGCCAUUUAUAUAUAUAUGGAAAAAGUCUGUUAAGAAAUAAAUGUUUCAAAUGUGUUACCUCUAGCUAAGGAUGAUAUAGAGGAUAUAAAUAAUAUAGAUAGAUAAAAUAAUUAAUAAACAAAUAUAAAUAAAUCUGAAUAAGUGAAGUACUGUCCAAUUACAAAAAUUGUAUGAGUAGAUAAAAGAAACUAUUCAUAUAUAUUGAAAACAAUAGAGUCUAUUAUGAAAUAGUCAAUAUACAAAGAAACGCUCUUGAUUUGUGUCAGUGUCAAGAUCAAUGUUGUUUGUUUUCUUAAAAAAUUAAUAAAUAUUAAGUGAAAAUUUUAAAUGUCUAAAUGAUUGGCUAAAUGAAAGGUGACAUGCAUAGAUCGAGGAAAAUAAUGUCUCCAUUUUUAUUUUCUUUAUCUGCACUGCUUUGUACUUACAGGCCUUCUGCUGUGAUCGCGUUCUCCACAGUUGCCUCUGGGUAGGAGCCUGGACACUAAUAGAAAAUGGAUGCACUUGAGCCGACCUAAGCAUUCAUGGUCAUGAGAUUUGUGGUUGCCACUGUUGGUUAGGAGCAUAGAGAUCAGUGUGAGUAAUAAAGUUCAUGUCUUUCUCUAAGAGACUUUUUAAAGGGUAUUCAUAAUAUCAUGAAUGUGUGAAAAAUUAUCCAAAAGGCCAACCUCAGCCAAUGAUAAAUAUGAGAUUGGUUGAAACAGUAUAUUUGCUAGCUCAUUUAUGACACAUUGAGGAUAAUUCAUGAAAGAUAUAUCAAAGUGGCAGAUUAUAUAGAAAGUUGUGGAAUAUUCUAUGCUCUUACUGUUUGGAUAUUAUAUUUACAUGGGUUAUAAUAUUAAUAUUCAUGAAUUAAUGCAUAAAUAACAUGUAAAUGAGAAUUAAGCUAAACAGUCCUAAGCCUGAGCCAGUGAUGAAAACUGGUGGCAUAGAAGUCAAGGAUGCUGAAUAAUGUGUGUCUAGAACUCUGAGGUUCAAUAGAGGAGGAAAUAUAGUCUAUUGCUUUUGAAGUGAUCUUAUAGUUAGGUUUUGGAAAUACAAAAGGGCCAUCUUCUUGGAUUGUUUUUGUGACUUUUGUUUCUUCUUUAAAAUAAAUUCAUUGAUGUAAUAAUCAAUGUACACAUGUAAAAAAUUAAAGAUGAGGAGUGUGAAGCAUGUCCACUCAAUGUAAAUGGUGAGACAACAGAAAUCAUUAAAAUGUAUUGAAAAUAUGAAUACCAUUUAAAAAACGAACAAUUCAAGUGUAAUCUUUGACUACGGAUGACAUAAGCAGUAUAGUGAAGUUUCUUAUUUUGCAUCAGAACAAGUGUGCUGUUGUUCAUUUUUUUAAAAGAAAAUUGAUAAGUAUUACCACAAUUAAUAGAUACCUGAAUGACUAAGAGAAGGGUCAAAUGAAUGAAUCCGUGAAAAAUAUUUCAAUCCUGUUACCUUCUCUGCUUUGCACUUCCCAGAAUGGACACACCUGGGCUGGCAGAACAUCUUGCCUUGAUCUGGAGCCCCAUGUCUGCCCCUCUGUAGAGGUGCACAUGGGCCAAUGAUGGAUGCAAUGAGCUGAUCAUUUUGCUGUGAUCAAGGCUAUGUUGCCUCUGUGUUAGGCCAAUGGUUGAUGUUCAUGGGUGAUUGAUCAUCCUGUAGCGACGGUGGUAUUGACUGUUCCCCAGAGGACAAGGAGUGUGUUCUUAUGUAAGUCAUAGUUGACAUUCUUGUUUUUGAUUGGGUAGUUUGCCUGUUCAUUGAUGUUCAUAGUACUAUAGAAGGUAGAUAAAUGGCCACAUACCUAAAGAAAAUCAAAGGGGACAAAAAGUGAGAGUCUGUUAUAAACUAAGGAUUAUAAUUAAUGUAAUUCAGUACAACUGUGGACAAUUUUGAAAAGAUAAAGAUUGAUGUCAUUUUAGUCAUUUUAUAGAUAAACUAAAAAUGGGACAUUUUUAAUAUCCCAUUUUAGCAUUUUUCAUAGUUUACACAAACGUUCCUAUAUUGCUAGAUAGCCUAGUCUGUGAACUCCCUGAGGAAGGAGCACAUGUGAAGUAAAUACUUGUCAUUAUCAUAGUGGGUUCAAGUGGAAUAUUCUUCCGGCUUAUUGUUACAUCUUCAUAGACUAUAUAAUUUAAACAAAACGGUUCAAGCAUGGACCAUGACAUAACUGAAAUCAAAUCUAGACAAACAUGAUUAUUAUUAUAUUUCACAACAUUUUUGUAGUUCGUUACAAAAAAAGACCUAGCCUAUUAUAUUACCUUGUCUAUUAUCUCUCUUGGAAAUGAACCCAUUGACAGAUAUUAAGACUAUUCAAGAAACUUGCUUAGGGGCUAUGGUGGAUUGUUAACACAUACUAAUUUUAUUAUCAGUGGAUAAGUAUGCAUAAACAUCUUGUAAGUUAAUAUAGAUACAUAUGUCUAAGUGUGGUCUCAUUUUGAGUAUAUUUACUGGAACAAGAAUUAUUAUGACAUGUCUUAAAUGUUAUGAUCCAUUAAUAAAAAUAGACCAAGCUUGUGACCCAAGUCAGUAACCUGCAUAUACACAUAUGUGAAUACUCAUUGUCUUUAUUUCUGGAGCUUUUUAGUUUAUACUUGUUUUUGUUUUCUCUUUUAGUAAAUUGAAAACAUUAUAUAAAUACAUAAAUCAAAACAUAGGUAAGGAAGUUAGAGGAAGCUAAGCAUGGACUACUUAUGAGGAUGUGUUUUUAAGCAGGGAUUAUAACUUAAUCCAUUUUAGUACAAUGGAGCACGAUUUAAAAAGAGAUCAGUGUUUUCCAUUCUCUUUUCAUAGCUAUGUAUUAUUCCAUUUUGGGUUUUACUCCUGUUUAUGCAACAUUCCUUGAUGGAUAACAAUCUAUGGGUUAGAUCCAAGGCUUAAAUUUUACGUAGUUGUGUUUUUAUAAGUCAUUAUCAGGGUUUUAGAUGUUGAAUGGGGUGAUGACUUGAUGGUUGUUCGUUGUUCCAUCUUAAACGUAUGUACAUGUUAAAUGAAGAAAAGGCCAAGCACCAAUCAGUGAUAUGAAUGGAUUGAUUGAUCAGUUUUAUGAUUAAAUUCAUUUCUGCACCCCUGCAAUUUAUUUAAAAGGGAGAUUUGGUAUAUUAAAUCUAUGGAAAUUUCAAUGGAGUGAUUGUCUCAUGCUUUUCACACCUGUCCUAUAUUCCACAGAAUGGACAUCAUGAUUGGGAUUGUCUUUAUUAAACUUUGUCAGGAGAGUAAAGAUCAAUGUGGCCACAUGUUGUGGCUCAUGCCUGUAAUCCCAAC
rnacentral:lncRNA from 1 species